ACGGCUGUGGUCUAGUGGUAUGACACUGCCCUCCCAAGGCAGCGACCCGGGUUCAAAUCCCGGCAGCCGUA
rnacentral:tRNA from 1 species